rnacentral:rRNA from 1 species
GAUGAACGCUGGCGGCGUGCCUAAUACAUGCAAGUCGAGCGAACAGACGAGGAGCUUGCUUCUCUGACGUUAGCGGCGGACGGGUGAGUAACACGUGGAUAACCUACCUAUAAGACUGGGAUAACUUCGGGAAACCGGAGCUAAUACCGGAUAAUAUAUUGAACCGCAUGGUUCAAUAGUGAAAGACGGUUUUGCUGUCACUUAUAGAUGGAUCCGCGCCGCAUUAGCUAGUUGGUAAGGUAACGGCUUACCAAGGCAACGAUGCGUAGCCGACCUGAGAGGGUGAUCGGCCACACUGGAACUGAGACACGGUCCAGACUCCUACGGGAGGCAGCAGUGGGGAAUCUUCCGCAAUGGGCGAAAGCCUGACGGAGCAACGCCGCGUGAGUGAUGAAGGUCUUCGGAUCGUAAAACUCUGUUAUUAGGGAAGAACAAAUGUGUAAGUAACUAUGCACGUCUUGACGGUACCUAAACAGAAAGCACCGGCUAACUACGUG